rnacentral:rRNA from 1 species
CGUAGGUGAACCUGCGGAAGGAUCAUUGUCGAAACCUGCCCAGCAGAAAGACCCGUGAACACGUUAGAAAUACUCAGGGGGCGAGGGGUGUCAACGAGCCUCAAACCCCCUGUGCCUAGGGCUUCGGCCAUGGUCGAUGGCCUAGGCUUAAAAACAAACCCCGGCGCGGAAUGCGUCAAGGAAAAAUGAUGGAACGACCCAUGCCGCCAUAGCCCCAGAAAAUGGUGCGUUUAUAUGGUGGUUGAUUCGUGACUGUUUUAACUCAAAACGACUCUCGGCAACGGAUAUCUCGGCUCUCGCAUCGAUGAAGAACGUAGCGAAAUGCGAUACUUGGUGUGAAUUGCAGAAUCCCGUGAACCAUCGAGUCUUUGAACGCAAGUUGCGCCCGAAGCCAUUUGGCCGAGGGCACGUCUGCCUGGGCGUCACACAUCGUUGCCCCCCUAGACAUCCCCAUGUGGAUUGAUAAGGGGCAGAGGAUGGCCUCCCGUGCGCACUUUGUCUCGCGGUUGGUCCAAAAUUGAGUCCUCGGCCACAUUGUCAUGGCAAUAGGUGGUUGUCGAUCAUUCGGUGCCCCGUCAUGUGUGUUGGCCUCGCAUCGCGACUCUUGUAGACCCCAAUGCAUCUCUUAUGGAUGCUUCCAAUGCGACCCCAGGUCAGGCGGGGCUACCCGCU